GGUUGUGAUAAAGAGAUAAAACCUAAGUUGAGAUUUGUAAUCAGCGAAUCAGGCAAGUAUCUUACCUUUGCAUUUCCUUUAUGCAAUGGACAUGAGUAAGAAGUUUCAGAAUUAUUCUAUUCCUGUACAGAUUAUGUACGCUUUGAUUAUCAACAUGUUAGCUCAGAUAUAUAUUCUGUUAAGUUGAUUUCUAAAUGGUUAUACAAGUGUCCCCACUUGGAUAAUCAUGGCAUUUAUUCACAUGUUGAUAUACCUUUGUCAAUUACCCGUAUACAUAUAUGUUGAAUUACAUAUUAUUGUUGAGCAAGAUUAAAAACCUUCGGGUUUGGAACCAGGCAUGUAUGAACAUCCCGAUAAUGGGAAAAUUUUUAUGCGCUUCGGCGGACAAAGGGUGAGCGAUGAAUUUCGUUCAAGUUAUGUAGUAUUGAUCAAUACAGGGUACAACGGGGCUGAUCACCCUCCGUGCCCGUAAGUUAUGACGGUUUGCGGAUGAAUUUCUGCUAAACCUUUUCGAAAAUGAAAAACAAUGUUCAUAGUAUGUUUCUUAAACCCUAUUCAUGGGUAGAGCCAGAGCCAAAUUUAAAUAAUUUGGAAGAGAGUUGUUAUGUGAAUUUUUUUUAUCAGUACAGAUUACUUCACAACUUUCGAUUCGUUGUAGAAGUGUUAUAUAAAGAGAAUACUUAUAUUUUUUCAGCUUAUAUAUAUAAUUGCUAUUACUUGCUGGGCACUCAAAUGCUCAUCCUUGCUUAAACUAAAUGUUUUCAGUUACGUACGACCGACCUGAAGGCUCAGGCACGAACAAGGGAAAAGAAAAGUUGUUCGAAUGAGAUUUAGUAUGAGUUAAUGGUUAUAGUUAGUAAGACAAUGGAAUCUAUUGUCAGGUAUUGUAAGGAAUGUAUUUGAAGGUCACGUACCUGGGGAAGUAAACUUUGAUGUAUGUAAAUUAAGUUCGAAUGUAUUAUUAUUUAGUAUUAUUCAGCUUAAAGAAAUGGUAUCGUGGAGAACCGAGUUCGGGUUUCAAGUACCUGGAUUUGGGGUCGCCACAGGUUGGUAUCAAAGCUGUAGGUUAUAAACGUUAGGAAUGCGAAACCUAGGUAAUAACCUUAGUAGAAUGGAGAACG
rnacentral:lncRNA from 1 species